ACUGAUCAGGACUCCUCAGUCCAGCUUCUCACAAUGAGGCUCCCUGCUCAGCUCCUGGGGCUGCUAAUGCUCUGGGUCCCUGGAUCCAGUGGGGAUAUUGUGAUGACCCAGACCCCACUCUCCCUGCCCAUCACACCUGGAGAGCCAGCCUCCAUCUCCUGCAGGGCUAGUCAGAGCCUCCUGCACAGUAAUGGAUACACCUAUUUGGAUUGGUACCUGCAGAAGCCGGGCCAGUCUCCACAGCUCCUGAUCUAUUUGGGUUCCAACCGGGCCUCUGGAGUCCCAGACCGGUUCAGUGGCAGUGGGUCAGGGACAGAUUUCACCCUGAAGAUCAGCAGGGUGCAGGCUGAGGAUGCUGGGGUUUAUUACUGCAUGCAAGCUCUAGAAGUUCCUCAGACGUUCGGUGGAGGGACCAAGGUGGAAAUCAAACGGGAUGUGGCUCAGCCAUCUGUCGCCCUGUUCCCCCCAUCCCAGGAGCAGCAGAAGUCCGGAACUGUCUCUCUCUUGUGCACAAUAACCCGAUUUUACCCGAGAGAGAUCACCGUCAAUUGGAAGGCGGAUGGCGUCACCCAGACGAAUGAUAUCCUGAACAGCCUCUCAGAGCAGGACAGCAAAGACAACACCUUUAGCCUCAGCAGUAUGCUGACAUUGCCCGUUUCAACGUACAACAAUCACAACGUUUACUCCUGUGAGGUUGUUCAUCAGAGCCUGAGCUCGCCCCUCACCAAGAGCUUCAAUAGGCAAGAGUGUUAGAGGGAGAGGCCUCCCAGGCCCAGCAUCAGCCCCUUCCCUGAGUAGGCCUUGGGACCUUCUCCCACAAGGAACCUACCCCUACUGCAAUCCUCCAGCACCUCUCCCCACAUCAUCCCCCCUCUUCCUUGGCUUUAAUCAUGCUAAUAUUGGGGGAGGAAUGAAUGAAUAAAGUUAAUCUUUGCACCUGUGA